GCUCAUUGUAUAAAAGUGGCUCAAAAUUAUUUGGAGAUUUUGCAAUCUGCCAAGGCAGAUUUGUCUAAACUAUAUUAUGUCUUUGUAUUAAAACCCCCAAUUUCUGCUAUACCCACCUUACUUAUUUUUCUUAUAAAGCAUCUCAUAUGUUUUUCAGGUGUUUUAAUAUUUUAUCCACAGCUAGUAAAAGCUCAAUAACAAAAUAAAACUGACCUCUUCCAACAAAAUAUAACACCACAAAAUAUUUUGUAAAAUAUUUAAUUUUUAAGAAAUUUAGUUGUACAUUAGAUAGAUAUACCAAUGUAGUUGCACCAAAUUGAAAACAUUUUUUUGUGGUUGUUAAAUCAGAGUCAUUACUAAGUAAACAGGGACUUGGGGACUUACAAUUCUAUUUUACUGAGCCCAACAUUAGGAUAUUUAUUACAAUGUAAUUCUAUCUGUACUUUUAUAUUUAAGUAAUAGUAUAAAAAGGCAUGUUUUCUGAAAAUAUUAACAUAUGCUGGUAAAGUUUCAUGCACUUUGUUAUGUUCUUCAGUUUCACCUAGUUAUAUAAUGAUUAUUCUUAAAGUUAAUGAUUAAAAAAUGUGCUCUGCCCUUAAACGACCCUAUUUCUCUCCUAAUCUAAUCAAGGAAUGAGCAGAUCUGAAAACCUAAUUCAAGUUAAUUUACAAUAAGUGUUUUUAAAAACAAUUUCUAUUUGAAUCCAAAAAAAUAUGGUUACAAUGUGUUAAAGACCAUCCAUAAAAUGACCAUUACCUUAGGAAAUACAUAAACUGUUAUCUUUAUAUGCCCAAUCUGUUUUAGGAGGUGGCAGCUGGUUAAAUCUCUUUUAAAAAACAAAAAACAAACAAACAAACAAAAAACUAUUUCAAUCCAGGCAUAAAAAUUCCAGCAUAACUACAGACUUAGGAAAUGUAAAUUUAAAAUUUUAAUACUGUUGACCUAAGUCCCGGGCUAAUUCCCAGGGGCUAACAAGACUCUAAAUAUUUGUUUUAUAAAGAUUAUAUAUCUUCACCAAAUCUACUUCUGCUUGUAUUUUUGAAACAGAUCCAUGAUCACAAUGGAGGGAAAUGUGAUAGGGGAGCUCCAGGUCACCAUCACACAAUGAAGACUUCCAGGUGCUUAGACUCAAAACAUCUAGACAGUUCAGAAGUUGAGAGGCAAAGUCGGCAAAAAGUAACGCAGAAGGUGUACACAUGGGCAGCCUGAACACAACCAGACAAACAUAGGACCUCAGAAAAUGGGUCCUAGAAGACACAGCAAGGGCAGGUGAGUGAGUGUUCUCUUACAAAAAUGGCCCAUUGGGCAACUGAGGGUGGUUCUGCACCAUUAGAAGUGGGUGGCAGGAUAU
rnacentral:lncRNA from 1 species